UCGAUACAAUGAUGACUGCAUAGUUCAGCUGAUAAUCCUAUGAAGACCUCAUAUCGUCUUUCACCCCUAACUGACGUAUCAA
ensembl:snoRNA